UACAGAGGUCUCAAGCGUUGUUCGGAUUCAUUGGGCGUAAAGGGUGCGUAGGCGGCGAGGCAAGUCAGGUGUGAAAUCUCGGGGCUCAACUCCGAAACUGCACUUGAUACUGCCUUGCUAGAGUACUGGAGAGGAGAUUGGAAUUUACGGUGUAGCAGUGAAAUGCGUAGAUAUCGUAAGGAAGACCAGUGGCGAAGGCGAAUCUCUGGACAGUUACUGACGCUGAGGCACGAAGGCCAGGGGAGCAAACGGG
rnacentral:rRNA from 1 species